GUGUCAAAUAAAUAAAAUAUUUUAAAAAUAAAUAAAAUAAAUGAAUGAAUGAAUGAAUGAAUGAAUGAAAUAGCCAAGUAGUUCACAGCCUCUUAAUAUUAUGCAUUCUAUUUUAAGGCUCUUUUUGUCCCCCAGCCCAAGAAAUUAUUUCUCAUUUGAACUCUUCAUAUUGGGUUAAGCAAGAAUUACUUAUCUCCCUUUUAUUGAUCAGAUGCACAGAAAUCUUGUUAGAUCUUUACUGUUUGUGAAACUCUUUCCCCUUCCUGCUUGUCACUCAUUUAUUUCACUGUAUUUGUUCUUCACCUUCCCAUGACCUUGGAACUUUGACUUUAGUAACUUAGCCCCUCCUUAAUUUGUACCUGUCAAGCACCACAGAUUUUUACUUCCCUCAACAUUUUGAUCCCAACUCUUUUCUUCCUGAUUCUUGUGUCAUGGCUACUUCUUCUUUAAAAAAUAUUUUUAUUUAUUUAUUUGACAGAGAGAUCACAGGUAGGCAGAGGCAGGCAGAGAGAGCGGGGGAAGCAGGGUCCCUGCUGAGCAGAGAGCCCGAUGUGGGGCUCAAUCCCAGGGCCCUGGGAUCAUGACCUGAGCAAGAGGCAGAGGCUUAACCCACUGAGCCAUCCAGGCACCCCUUUAUAGCUACUUAUUUAACCAAAGCCUGUCUCCAGUCAAUACAAAUACUUGUAUUUCUACUGCACCUGUAGUGCAGUAUGAGAGUGGUUCUGAUUCACUGGGCUCAGAACUGCCAAGUAAUCUUCCAUAUGUCAUUUCCUACUUAGUCUCCUCAGCUCUCAUUCUUAAGCAUUGGUUCUUGGGCCCUCAUCUUUCUUAAACUGCCCUUGUCUUUCCUCCAUCUUUUCUUACUCCUAAUAGAAAAUUUAACAAAAUGUGGACCAUCAGGUCAGAGUGCAUUUAUGCCUGUAAUAUCCACCAUCAAACUAGGACCCAAAUAUUCCUGUCCUUAAAUUUUUCUCCCCUUUUCACUGUCCGUUAAAGGAUAAUUCCUACCUAUGAAUUCUGGAUCUUAGACCUCUCUCUAUCUUAUAAAAGAACUUUAUAUCUUUGUAAAGGUGUAUCCUUUGGGGCAUCUGGGUGGCUCACUCAGUUAAGGUCUGCCUUCAUUUCAUGUCAUGAUCCCAGGGUCUGUGGAUCAAGCCCCAUAUCAGGCUCCCUGAUCAGCGGGGAGCCUGCUUUUACCUCUCCUACUGCUUGGACUCUCUCUCUCUCUUUCUGUCAAAUAAAUAAAUAAAAUCUUUAAAAAAUAAAAAGGUGUAACGUUGGCAGCCUCUCUCAUUAUUCAUUAUUUUCCUUUAACCAGUAAACAUCACACAUUUGUGGGGGAAGAGAAUCACUAACUGAAGGAAAAAAACAAACAAAAAACCUCUGUUGACUCCCACUCUCUGUGUCUACUGUCUUCUCUUUUUACAUGUCUUUUUACACUGCCUCAUUUAUGUCACCUUCCAUUCUAUUUGCAGAUGUGUGGCUCUAAAUUUAAAUAGGUUUAAAUUUAAACAGAGAAGAAAUACAAUCCCAUUUUUGACACCUUAAGUAUUUUAUUAAAUACCAAUAAGAUAUUUUAAAAAUAUGUGUAAGAUAAGGGAUGCCUAGGUGGCUCAGUCGUUAAGCAUCCAUAUCUUGAUUUUGGCUCAGGUCGUGAUCCUGAGAUCAAGCCCCGCAUUGGAAUCCACACUCAGCGCAGAGUCUGCUUGUUCCUCUCCUUCUGUUCUCCCCAUUCCCCCUCCCGCUUGCACAUGUUCUCUUUCUCUCUGGCUCUCAGGUAAAUAAAAUCUUUUUUUAAAAUGUGAAGAUAUAAAGAAUAACUACCGGGGUGCCUGGGUAGCCCAGUCAUUGGGUAUCUGCCUUUGGCUCAGGUUGUGAUCCCAGGGUCCUAGGAUCAAACCCACCUAGGGUGGGCUCCCUGCUCAGCAGGAAUCCUGCUUCUCCCUCUCCCCUUGCUUGUGUUCCCUCUUUCUCUGUCUCUAUCUCUCUCUCCCCCUCUGUCAAUAAAUAAAUAAAAUCUUUAAUAAAGAAAGAAUAACUACAGACACUUGUGUGUCUUCUACUCAGUUUAAGAAAAAGAACUUAAUCAGUGAAUUCUGUGAUUGCAUUCCAUUUCUUCCUUGUUCAGGGGUAAGCACUACAUUUUUGUGUUUUAUCAUUCCCUUCCCUUCCCUUCCCUUUUUCAGAUAUAUUUUUUUUGGCUGAGAUAAAAUUUACCGUUUACCAUUUUAUAAUAUACAAUUUAAAGACCCUAGCAUAUUCACAAUAUUGUACAACCAUCAGUACUAAUUCCAGAACAUUAUCCACUCCAGAAAGAAACCCCACACUCUUCAGCAGUCAUUCCUCACCCCACCUUCUCUUCCUGAAAGCCACGUUCUGUCUCUAGGUUUGCCUGUUCUGGACAUUUCAUAUAAGUUGAAUCAUUCAUUAUGUGGCUUUUCAUAUCUGACUUCUUUACUAAGCAUGUUUUCAAGGGUCAUUCAUGUUAAUAGCAUGUGUAAGUACUUCAUUUCCUUUUUAUGGCUGAAUAUUACAUUGAAGAAUAUAUUAUAGUCUGUUUAAUUAUUCACCGAUUAAUGGACAUUUGGGUUUUUUCUACUCUUUGGCUAUUAUAAAUAGUGCUGCUGUGACCAUCUUGUACAAGUUUUUGUAUAAAUAUAUUUUCUGGUUCUCUUGGAUAUCUACAUAGGAAUAGAAUUGCUGGGCAUAUGGUAACUCCUAUGUUUAACUCUUUGAGGAAGUGCCAGACUGUUCCAAAGUGGUUGUACCAUUUUACAUUCCCACCAGCAGUGUUUGAGAGUUUAUUUCUCUACAUCCUCACUUACAUUUUUUUUAUAGCCAUCCUAGUGGGUAUGAAAUAGUAUCUGAGCAUGAUUUUUAUUUGAAUUUUCCUGACUAAUGAUGUUGAGUACCUUUUCUUGCACUUACUAGCCAUUUGUUAUUAUUUUGGAGAAAUAUCUAUUCAGAUCUUUUGCCCGUUUUUAAAUUGGGCUGUUCUUUUAUUGUUAUAGGAACUCUCUGUUAAUUCUGGAAAUGAGACCCUUGUCAGAUACAUGAUUUGCAAAUAUUUUCUCCCAUUUUGUGAUUGUCUUUUCAUUUGAAAAUGUCCUUUGAUGCACAAAUUUUUAAAAAUUGAUGAAGUCCAUUAUCUUUUUCUUUCAUUGUUUUUGGUAUCAUAUUUAAGAACCCAUUGCCCAAUCCAUGGCCAUGAAAAUUUAUACCUGUGUUUCCUUCUAAGAAGUUCAAAUUUUAGCUCUUUUAUUUAAGUCUUUGAUCUAUCUUUUGAAAUAAAUUUUUAAAGUUUAAUUUUGUAUGUCAUGUUUGGUAGGUGUUUCAGUUCAUUCUUCUGUGUAUGGCUACCCAGUUGUCCCAGUGCCAUUUUUUGAAAAGAUUGUUCUUCACCACACGGUCUUAGAACCUUGUUGAAAAUCAUGGUCUUGGGCACCUGAGUGGCAUAGCAGUUUAAGCAUCCAACUGUUAGUUUCAGCUUAGGGUCCUGAGAUUGAGUCCUGCAUCUGUCUCUCUCCCUGCUUGGCAGGGAAUCUGCUUUGGAUUCUCUCUCUCUCUCAAAUAAGCAAAUCUCAAAAAAAAAAAAAAAGAAAGAAAGAAAGAAAGAAAGAAAGAAAGAAAAUCACUAUCUUGCUUAUUGUUGCUUUGUAGUAAGGUUUGCUAUUGGGAAGUGUGAGCCUUCCUACCUUAUUACUUUUUAGGAUUGUUUUGGCUAAUCUUGAUCUCUCCCAAUUCUUAGAAUCAGUUGAUCAAUUUCUACAAAGAAAUCAGCUGUGAUUCUGAUAAGGAUUAUGUUGAAUCUGUAGGUCAGUUUUGGGAGUAUUGUCAUUUUAACAAUGUUAAAUCUUUCAAUCCAUGAAUACAGGAUGUUUUUCCAUUUCUUCAGAUCUUUUUUUGUAGAUUUUAUUCAUUUACUUCUCAGAAAAAGAGGGAGAGAAAGGACAAGCAAAGGAGGCGACAGUCAGAGGGAGAAGUAGGCUCCCUGCCGAGCAAGGAGCCCAAUGCAGGACUUGAUCCCAGGACUCCGGGAUCAUGACCUGAGCUGAGGACAGCGGCUUAACCAUCUGAGCCACCCGGGCAUCCCUCUUUAGAUCUUCCUUUUUUAAAGGAUUUUAUUUAUUUAUUUGACAGAGAUCACAAGUAGGCAGAGAGGCAGGCGGGGGAGGGGGGGAGCAGGCUCCCUGCUGAGCAGAGAGCCCGAUGUGGGGCUCGAUCCCAGGACCCUGAUACCAUGACCUGAGCCGAAGACAGAGGCUUAACCAACACUGAGCCACCCAGGCGCCCCAUCUUUAGAUCUUCUUUAAUUUCUUUCAAUAUUUGUUAAGUGUUGUACUUCUUUUGUUAAAUUUAAUCCUAAAUAUUAUUUUUAAAAUGCUAUUGAUUUUCAUAUAUUGGUUGAUCUUUUAUUUUCUGCAACUUUGCUAAACUUAUUUAUUUAUUUCCUUAUUUAUUUUUAAAUAUUUUUAUUUAUUUAUUUGACAGCGAGAGAGAUCCCAAGUAGGCAGAGAGGCAGGUGCAGAGAGCCUGAUGCAGGUCUCGAUCCUAAGACCUUGAGAUCAUGACCUGAGUUGAAGGCAAAGGCUUAACCCAAUGAGCCACCCAGGCGCCCCUAAACUUAUUUAUUAGCUCUUACAGUUUUUUAUGUGAAUUCUUUAGGAUUUAUUACAUGUCAUAUCAUCUAUGAAUAAAGAUAAUUUUGUUUCUUUCCAAUCUAGAUGCCUGUUUUUCCCCUGUAUCUAAUGGCCCUACCUAGAACUCCCAGUAUAUUGUCAAGUAGAAGUGGCAAGAGCAGACCUCUUUUUUCUGAACUUUGUAUAGGGCAGGCUUUUGGUCUUUAACCUUUAAGGAUGAUUUUAGCUAGGGCUUUUUCAUUGAUGCCCAUAUUAGAUUGAGGAAGUUCUUUCAAUUAGUAGUUUGUUGAUUUUUUUUUUUUCCGGUCAUGGAAAGGUGUUAGAUUUUGUUGAAUGCUUUUGUUACUUUUUGUAUCUGUUGAACAAAUAGGGAUUCCCCCCUUUAUUUAAUACAGCAUAUUAUAUCAAUUUAUUUUUAUGUAUUGAAUCAACUUUGCAUUCCUUAGAUACUCUUACUCGGUCAUGGUGUAUGACCCCUUUAAUAUGCUGCUGAGUUCAGUUUGCUAGCAUUUUGUUGAGGAUUUUUUUAUCUGAAUUCAUAAGAGGUACUAGUUUGUAGGGUUUUUUUUGUGAAAUGUUUAUAUAAGAGUAAUACUGGUUUCAUAGAGUGACUCAAGAAAUAUUAUCUCUUUUAUUGACAGCCCUCCUUUUCCCCAAGAUUUUAUUUAUUACAGAGAGCUCAAGGGGGCAGAAGGAGAGAGAGAAUCCCGAGGGAACUCUGUACUGAGCACUGAGUCUGAAGUGGGGCUCAAUCCCAGAAUCCUGAGAAUAUGACCUGAGCUGAAAUCACCAGUCAGAUGCCUGACUUGAGCCACCCAGAUUUUAAAUGGUUUUAAAUUGUCCCUUAGAUUUAAAAAUGGUUUUACAAUGUGUUUUGUAUCCCUAAACAUGUAUUGUUUAAUUUGAACAUGGUUUUGACUAUUUUAUUAUUUUUUGUUAAGAUUUUAUUUAUUUAUUAGAGAGUGCACUUGAGAGAGAGCAUGAGCAGGGUAAGAGGCAGAGGGAAAAACAGACUUCCUACCAAGCAGAGAGCUCAAUGUGGGACUCCAUUCCAGGACCCUGGGAUCAUGACCUGAGAGGAAGGCAGACAGUUGCUUAACCAACUGAGCCAUCCAGGUGCCCCAAUUUUACAUGAUUUUAAACUUUAGGUAAAUGGAAACAUAUUUCCUGGUAUACGUGUAUGAGAGUUUAUCCAGAGUUUGGCCUUUGUUCUUCUUAUUCUAUUACUUUAAGUAGUUAUACCUAUAUAUUUUUCCUGACCUGUAUAUAUUGAUAAAUAAUGUCAUUAUCAUUUUUCCCCUAGAAAUUCUAAGGUCUCGGAUUUAUAGAAAAGCCUUUAAAAAUGUUAAUUCCUUGGGGCGCCUGGGUGGCUCAGUGGGUUAAAGCCUCUGCCUUCAGCUCAGGUCAUGAUCCCAGGGUCCUGGGAUCGAGCCCUGCAUCAGGCUCUCUGCUCCACCGGGAGCCUGCUUCCUCCUCUCUCUGCCUGCCUCUCUGCUUACUUGUGAUUUCUCUCUGUCAAAUAAAUAAAUAAAAUCUUUUUUAAAAAAUGUUAAUUCCUAGUUUUAUUUUACUGUGUUUAUAUAUGUUACUUAAAUUAUCUCUUUUUGCAAUUUAUUAUGGUUUCCUCUAUAGCCUAAUACAGCCUUUUUUGAUGAACAUUCUAUGAGUACUUUAAAAGGUGUGUUUCCUAUUUUUAGGCCACAUACCUUAAUAUAUUAAUAAGGUGUUCAUGGGGCACCUGGGUGGCUCAGUGGGUUAAGCCUCUGUCUUUGGUUGAGGUCAUGAUAUCAGGGUACUGGGAUCGAGCCCCACAUUGGACUCUGCUCAGCAGGGAGCCUGCUUCCCCCUCUCUCUCCGCCUGCCUCUCUGCCUACUUGUGAUCUCUCUCUGUCAAAUAAAUAAAUAAAAUCUUUAAAAUAAAUAAAUAUAUAUAUAUUACUGAGGUGUUCAGUGUCUUAGUUAGUUUUUAUCUCUUUGAUCUGUCAUUAAAUAGGAGAUGAUUUAUCAAAUCUCCAUAUUUUAAUAAAUCUCUGAUUUCUGCAUCAUGAAUGUUACUGCUAGAUUAUGGUAGAUAUUAAAAUUUUUAGAUACCAUGAGUUGCCCUCAUUGACAUUAUUAAGUGCUUUUCUUUAUCUUCUUUAAAGCUUUAUAGUGUAAUCUGUACCUCAUUUGAAAGUAAGAUCUUGAUUCUGCUUUCAUUUUGUGUGUAUUGUCUUGUAUAUUUUUGGGUUUGGAGUGUGUUAUUUUGUUUUAAUUUUUCUUUAAGGUUUUUAUUUAUUUUUGUGAGAAAGGGAGACAGAGCUAAAGAGCGAGCACAAGUGGGGUUGGGGACAGAGGGAGAAGCAGACUCCCCGCUUAAGCAGGGAGUCGGACCCAGAACUUGAUACCAGGACCCUGGGAUUAUGACCAGAGCCAAAGGCAGAUGCUCAACCAACUGAGCGACCCACGUGCCCCUGUGUUUUUUGGUUUUUGUUUUUUAAGCUAUUUUUUUUAUUUGAGAAAGAGAGAGAAUGGCGGGGGCGGGGGGUGUGGGGAGAGAAAGAAUCUCCAACAGACUCCCUGCUGUCUUUAAAGCUGGACACAUCUUGGGGCUUCAUCCAGUGAUGCUGAGAUCAUGACCUGAAUCUAACUUAGAGUCAGUUGAGGGGUGCCUCGGAGGUUCUGUUGUUUAAGCAUCUCCUUUGGCUCAGGUCAUGAUCGAAGGGUCCUGGGAUCAAGUCCCACAUUGGGCUCCCUGCUCAGUGAGAAGUCUGCUUCUCCCUCCCCUGCUGCUUGUUCUUUCUCUCUCUCUCCCCCCCUCAAAUAAAAAAAAAAAAAAAAAGACUCAGUUGGGUAUCCAGCUGAGCCACUCAGGUGCCACAUCUUUGUUUUUUAUGUUCAAUCCUUCUGAAUUACUUUGUUUUGGACGUACAUCUUACAAUUUUCAUGGAGUUGGCUUUAACUUUGCAUUACAAUAUGAAAAAUUUUUUUAAUGAUUUAAUUACAUAUAUUUUUAAGUAACCUCAAAUUCACAUCCCCAUGAUCAAAAGUCACAUGCUUACUUGACCGAACCAGCCAGUGCCCCCAAUUUUUUAUGUUUUAUGUGACAGAUAGGUUCGGUUUAUUUUAUAUGAGGUAUUUUUUUUUUUUAAUAUAGGGAUAGAGAUAAAUAUAGAGGGACUGUAUUUUGUUGUAGUUCCCUUUAACUUAAUAAAAUAACCCUUUGUUCU